rnacentral:rRNA from 1 species
AGAGUUUGAUCCUGGCUCAGGAUGAACGCUAGCGACAGGCCUAACACAUGCAAGUCGAGGGGCAGCGGAGAGGUAGCAAUACCUUUGCCGGCGACCGGCGCACGGGUGAGUAACACGUAUGCAAUCCACCUGUAACAGGGGGAUAACCCGGAGAAAUCCGGACUAAUACCCCAUAAUAUGGGCGUUCCGCAUGGAGAGCUCAUUAAAGAGAGCAAUUUUGGUUACAGACGAGCAUGCGCUCCAUUAGCCAGUUGGCGGGGUAACGGCCCACCAAAGCGACGAUGGAUAGGGGUUCUGAGAGGAAGGUCCCCCACAUUGGAACUGAGACACGGUCCAAACUCCUACGGGAGGCAGCAGUGAGGAAUAUUGGUCAAUGGUCGGCAGACUGAACCAGCCAAGUCGCGUGAGGGAAGACGGCCCUACGGGUUGUAAACCUCUUUUGUCGGAGAGUAAAGUACGCUACGCGUAGUGUAUUGCAAGUAUCCGAAGAAAAAGCAUCGGCUAACUCCGUGCCAGCAGCCGCGGUAAUACGGAGGAUGCAAGCGUUAUCCGGAUUUAUUGGGUUUAAAGGGUGCGUAGGCGGCACGCCAAGUCAGCGGUGAAAUUUCCGGGCUCAACCCGGACUGUGCCGUUGAAACUGGCGAGCUAGAGUACACAAGAGGCAGGCGGAAUGCGUGGUGUAGCGGUGAAAUGCAUAGAUAUCACGCAGAACCCCGAUUGCGAAGGCAGCCUGCUAGGGUGAAACAGACGCUGAGGCACGAAAGCGUGGGUAUCGAACAGGAUUAGAUACCCUGGUAGUCCACGCAGUAAACGAUGAAUACUAACUGUUUGCGAUACAAUGUAAGCGGUACAGCGAAAGCGUUAAGUAUUCCACCUGGGGAGUACGCCGGCAACGGUGAAACUCAAAGGAAUUGACGGGGGCCCG